rnacentral:rRNA from 1 species
AAUACCGCAUACGAUCUAAGGAUGAAAUGGGGGGAUCUUCGGACCUCAUGCUCAUGGAGUGGCCGAUAUCUGAUUAGCUAGUUGGUGAGGUAAAGGCUCACCAAGGCGACGAUCAGUAGCUGGUUUGAGAGAACGACCAGCCACACUGGAACUGAGACACGGUCCAGACUCCUACGGGAGGCAGCAGUGGGGAAUUUUGGACAAUGGGGGGCAACCCCCGAUCCAGCAAUGCCGCGUGAGUGAAGAAGGCCUUCGGGUUGUAAAGCUCUUUUGUCAGGGAAGAAACGGUGAGUUCUAAUACAGCUUGCUAAUGACGGUACCUGAAGAAUAAGCACCGGCUAACUACGUG